AGGUUUAUGAUGUCAUAAGGGAACGAAAGAUGGUUAAACGAAAAGAAAAUGGAGGCAAGCUCAAGUCCUCAUACAGUCUUUAUCAUAUUGGGAGAUGUUCACUACAGCAGUGGGAAAAUAAGUUUCUGCAGGAGUUGUCUUUUGAGUGUCAUAACCGAAUCAUUCAAAAUUUGCCCCAUAUGGCUUUGGUGAAGAGACGAACGAAGGUCAAACUAACUGGGGAUUACGUUUGCUUUAGAAACGAAAAGAUAUCAAUGCAGGACAUAGGUUAUUGUAAGCAGUAUGGAUGCAGCGUGCUCUUCAUAGUUAAACACAAGCCAACAAACUACGAGGCAAUAUGUAUAAUGUGCGCUGGAUUAAACCAGGCCAAUUCCAUUUUCAAUUCACUGUCAAGUGGAUAUAAACAAGCCAACCAUCCAACAUUUCAUUCGUCAGACCCUUGGGCAGACACAACAGAUGGAGACUUCUUUGACGAUUCAUUACAAGACACAACUUAUUACAACAACAUAAAGAUGUACAGCUCAAUGGCAGAUUUAGAAGCAGCUUCUGAGAAUGAUAUCUUAGAUGGACUUAAUAUAACACCAUAUCAAAAUAUCUGUUUUUCGAUGGAAGACAUUUUUUUAGCCCAGAAGAAAAUUAACUCCUCCAAGACAGAACAAGAUCCUUCAAUUUUAAGGGAGACUGUGAGGAGGGAUAGCAAUGGAAACAGUUGUGUUUCAAGGACUGAAGAAGCAUGUCAGAAAAGGUGUUUACCGACCAAUAUAGUGAAACCAAUAUUAAGACAGAGCUAUGAGAUGAUAGACCUCGAUUCACAACCUUUGAAAACAGCCACAGACAAAAAGUUUGCUUAUAGGGUUUCUAAAAUUUAACAUCUUUGAUGAGCCAUCAAAGACUUUUUAUUGACAGAAUUGAUGAGUUGCUAAAUGUUAUCCCUUUAUUCUUGAAUUAUUUCAAUAUUCAGAUGGUAUGUAAAUGUUGUGUUGAAUUUCAUAUUAAA